GCACAACCGAAAAGCUCUGGGAGUCCGGGGGAUCAGCCCGGACAGAAUGGGGAAAGCGCGGUGCGAAUCCGCCGCUGUGCCGCAACUGUGAUGGCUUGAAAUACGGCCUCAGUCAGGAAGCCCACCCGUGAGUCGGUGAUUCC
rfam:Gloeobacter kilaueensis JS1, complete genome.